UACAGAGGUCUCAAGCGUUGUUCGGAUUCAUUGGGCGUAAAGGGUGCAUAGGUGGCGCCGUAAGUCAGGUGUGAAAUUUCGGAGCUUAACUCCGAAACUGCAUUUGAUACUGCGGUGCUUGAGGACUGGAGAGGAGACUGGAAUUUACGGUGUAGCAGUGAAAUGCGUAGAGAUCGUAAGGAAGACCAGUGGCGAAGGCGGGUCUCUGGACAGUUCCUGACACUGAGGCACGAAGGCCAGGGGAGCAAACGGG
rnacentral:rRNA from 1 species